GACGAAGGGGGCUAGCGUUGUUCGGAAUUACUGGGCGUAAAGCGCGUGUAGGUGGGUUUCCAAGUUGGAUGUGAAAGCCUUGAGCUCAACUCAAGAAAUGCAUUCAGGACUGGAUGGCUAGAGGACCGGAGAGGAUAGUGGAAUUCCCAGUGUAGUGGUGAAAUACGUAGAGAUUGGGAAGAACACCAGUGGCGAAGGCGGCUAUCUGGACGGUUUCUGACACUAAGACUCGAAAGCGUGGGGAGCAAACAGG
rnacentral:rRNA from 1 species